rnacentral:rRNA from 1 species
AGUGAACGCUGGCGGUAGGCCUAACACAUGCAAGUCGAACGGCAGCACAGUAAGAGCUUGCUCUUACGGGUGGCGAGUGGCGGACGGGUGAGGAAUACAUCGGAAUCUACUUUUUCGUGGGGGAUAACGUAGGGAAACUUACGCUAAUACCGCAUACGACCUACGGGUGAAAGCAGGGGAUCUUCGGACCUUGCGCGAUUGAAUGAGCCGAUGUCGGAUUAGCUAGUUGGCGGGGUAAAGGCCCACCAAGGCGACGAUCCGUAGCUGGUCUGAGAGGAUGAUCAGCCACACUGGAACUGAGACACGGUCCAGCCUCCUACGGGAGGCAGCAGUGGGGAAUAUUGGACAAUGGGCGCAAGCCUGAUCCAGCCAUCCCGCGUGGGUGAAGAAGGCCUUCGGGUUGUAAAGCCCUUUUGUUGGGAAAGAAAAGCAGCAGGUUAAUACCCCGCUGUUCUGACGGUACCCAAAGAAUAAGCACCGGCUAACUUCGUG